GAUGAACGCUGGCGGCGUGCCUAAUACAUGCAAGUCGAGCGAACGGACGAGAAGCUUGCUUCUCUGAUGUUAGCGGCGGACGGGUGAGUAACACGUGGAUAACCUACCUAUAAGACUGGGAUAACUUCGGGACACCGGAGCUAAUACCGGAUGAUAUUUUGAACCGCAUGGUUCAAAAGUGAAAGACGGUCUUGCUGUCACUUAUAGAUGGAUCCGCGCUGCAUUAGCUAGUUGGUAAGGUAACGGCUUACCAAGGCAACGAUGCAUAGCCGACCUGAGAGGGUGAUCGGCCACACGGGAAGUGAGCCACGGUCCAGACUCCUACGGGAGGCAGCAGUAGGGAAUCUUCCGCAAUGGGCGAAAGCCUGACGGAGCAACGCCGAGUGAGUGAUGAAGGUCUUCGGAUCGUAAAACUCUGUUAUGAGGGAAGAACAUAUGUGUAAGUAACUGUGCACAUCUUGACGGUACCUAAUCAGAAAGCCACGGCUAACUACGUG
rnacentral:rRNA from 1 species